UAGCGGCAGGGCAGGGCAGGGCAGGGCAGGGCAGGGCAGCCUAGCCUAGCCUAGCCUAGCCUGGUACCUGCCAGGCUGCAGGCCCUGAGGGAAGGGCCUAGCCGGUGCAAAGGGGCCGAAGGGGAAGCAGCCCAGGGAGAGAGGCAGACAAGGGGAGAGAAGGAGGGCAGGAAGGCUGCUGCCAAAGGAUCCCUGGGUUGGGACCCAGAGUAGAGGGUGGGCCUGGGUCCGCCUCCCACCCUUGCACAUACACCCAGCUAUUGUAUGUGGCAAUAGUGGACUGCACCAGACCCCUGACAUGAAGGGUUAGACUUUGGGCUGUGGUUGGCUGCUGCAGCUGGGCGAAGUGAAAGACUGCUGAUAACCUCCCACUGGAAGGGGGUGAGCGAGGACUAAGGGGCACUACUGGAGGGCAGCGUCUUGAAGAGGAUGCCACAAGAAGGGAGCAACAUGGGUCCAGGUGCCAAUGGAGGGUGAGACAGAUGGGACACCACCAGUGGAAGGCGCUCCACACUGGACUGAGCUAAUUCCCUGACAAGCCAGCAGGAGGUGCUGCAGUGCUUUUCAGCCCAGCCAACCCCUGCGGCCCUGAGAUGUCCAUCAGACGAAAGAAACUGACAGCACGUGGCCCUCAUUCUGCUUGGCUGCUGCUUCCACAGAACUCCACCUCCCGUUUCCCAGCCUUCCGUGGAGCAUGAAGAGUAAAAGAGCUGGAUGUUCUCAUCUCUCGUGCAAGGAGAGAAAUCUUUUGUGUUAAAUGUGAAACGCCCAAAAAUCGCUUUUAAAAAUAAAAGGGUCGGUCGA